rnacentral:rRNA from 1 species
UAAAAGUCGUAACAAGGUUUCCGUAGGUGAACCUGCGGAAGGAUCAUUAAAGAGUAAGGGUCUCCGGCCCGAACCUCCAACCCUUUGUUGUUAAAACUACCUUGUUGCUUUGGCGGGACCGUUCGGUCUCGAGCGCACCGGUCUUCGGAUUGGUGAGCGCCCGCCAGAGUCCAACCAAACUCUUGUAUUAAACCAGUCGUCUGAGUAUAAAAUUUUAAUUUAAUUAAAACUUUCAACAACGGAUCUCUUGGUUCUCGCAUCGAUGAAGAACGCAGCGAAAUGCGAUAAGUAAUGUGAAUUGCAGAAUUCAGUGAAUCAUCGAAUCUUUGAACGCACAUUGCGCCCCUUGGUAUUCCGAGGGGCAUGCCUGUUCGAGCGUCAUUACACCACUCAAGCACUGCUUGGUAUUGGGCACCCGUCCGCCGAAAGGCGGGCGUGCCUCGAAGACCUCGGCGGGGUCUAAUCGGCUUCGGGCGUAGUAGAGUUAAAUCAAAACGUCUUAUAAGUCUGGUUAGAACCCAUUGCCGUAAAACCUUUUAUUUUCUAGGUUGACCUCGGAUCAGGUAGGGAUACCCGCUGAACUUAAGC